GUAUGUUUUCUGGCUUCGGUCAGACAGAGAGACAGGUGGUGCAUGGUUGUCGUCAGCUCGUGUCGUGAGAUGUUGGGUUAAGUCCCGCAACGAGCGCAACCCUACGUUUAGUUGCUAACGUGUAACGAUGAGCAUCUAGGCGGACUGCCGUUGACAAAACGGAGGAAGGUGGGAUGACGUCAAAUCAUCAUGCCCUUAUGUUCUGGGCUACACACGUGCUACAAUGGCCGGUACAGACGGACGCAAAGCCGCGAGGUGGAGCAAAUCCUAAAAAGCCGGUCUCAGUUCGGAUUGCAGGCUGCAAUUCGCCUGCAUGAAGUCGGAAUCGCUAGUAAUCGCAGGUCAGCAUACUGCGGUGAAUACGUUCCCGGGCCUU
rnacentral:rRNA from 1 species